rnacentral:rRNA from 1 species
UGUGAACGCUGGCGGCGUGCUUAAGACAUGCAAGUCGAACGGUAGUCUUCGGACUGUAGUGGCGCCCGGGUGAGUAACGCGUAACUGACCUACCCCAAAGUCGCGGAUAACGAUUCGAAAGAAUCGCUACUACGUGAUGUGCUGUCAGAUUGUGUUCUGCCAGUAAAGAUUGAUUGCUUUGGGAUGGGGUUGCGUUCCAGCAGCUAGUUGGUGGGGUAAAGGCCCACCAAGGCGACGACGGAUAGCCGGCCUGAGAGGGUGGCCGGCCACAGGGGCACUUGGACACGGGUCCCACGCCUGCGGGAGGCAGCAGUUAGGAAUCUUCCACAAUGGGCGAAAGCCUGAUGGAGCGACGCCGCGUGAGGGAUGAAGGUCUUCGGAUCGUAAACCUCUGAAUCAGGGACGAAAGACACUUCGGUGGGAUGACGGUACCUGAGUAAUAGCACCGGCUAACUCCGUGCCAGCCGCCGCCGUAACAC